rnacentral:rRNA from 1 species
GACGUAGGGGGCAAGCGUUGUUCGGAAUUAUUGGGCGUAAAGCGCUCGUAGGCGGGAUCGAAAGUCCGUGUUGAAAGACCUCGGCUCAACUGAGGGACCGGCUCGGAUACCUCGAUUCUUGAGGCAAUCAGAGGGUGAUGGAAUUCCCGGUGUAGCGGUGAAAUGCGUAGAUAUUGGGAAGAACACCGGUGGCGAAGGCGGCGAGCUGGUCCAUUACUGACGCUGAGGCGCGACAGCGUGGGGAGCAAACAGG